UUGUUGCCUCGGCGGAUCAGCCCGCUCCCGGUAAAACGGGACGGCCCGCCAGAGGACCCCUAAACUCUGUUUCUAUAUGUAACUUCUGAGUAAAACCAUAAAUAAAUCAAAACUUUCAACAACGGAUCUCUUGGUUCUGGCAUCGAUGAAGAACGCAGCAAAAUGCGAUAAGUAAUGUGAAUUGCAGAAUUCAGUGAAUCAUCGAAUCUUUGAACGCACAUUGCGCCCGCCAGUAUUCUGGCGGGCAUGCCUGUUCGAGCGUCAUUUCAACCCUCAAGCACAGCUUGGUGUUGGGACUCGCGUUAAUUCGCGUUCCCCAAAUUGAUUGGCGGUCACGUCGAGCUUCCAUAGCGUAGUAGUAAAACCCUCGUUACUGGUAAUCGUCGCGGCCACGCCGUUAAACCCCAACUUCUGAAUGUUGACCUCGGAUCAGGUAGGAAUACCCGCUGAACUUAAGAUA
rnacentral:rRNA from 1 species